GACGAACGCUGGCGGCGUGCUUAACACAUGCGAGUCGAACGGAAAGGCCCUGCUUUUGUGGGGUGCUCGAGUGGCGAACGGGUGAGUAACACGUGAGUAACCUGCCCUUGACUUUGGGAUAACUUCAGGAAACUGGGGCUAAUACCGGAUAGGAGCUCCUGCUGCAUGGUGGGGGUUGGAAAGUUUCGGCGGUUGGGGAUGGACUCGCGGCUUAUCAGCUUGUUGGUGGGGUAGUGGCUUACCAAGGCUUUGACGGGUAGCCGGCCUGAGAGGGUGACCGGCAACAUGGGGAUUGGGUUCGGCCCCGACUUCUUACGGGAGGAAGCGGUGGGAAUUAUGGACCAAGGGGCGAAGGCCUGAUCCGGAACGGCGGGUUCCGGGAUGCGGGCCUCGGGGUUGAAACCCGUUUCGGCUGUGAACGAGGGGGAGUUGCGGUAAUUGGUUAAGGAGCCCCGGCUAACUUAGUU
rnacentral:rRNA from 1 species